rnacentral:rRNA from 1 species
AAGACCUUGCGCUUUUGGAGCGGCCGAUGCCUGAUUAGCUUGUUGGUAAGGUAAAAGCUUACCAAGGCUUCGAUCAGUAGCUGGUCUGAGAGGACGGCCAGCCACACUGGGACUGAGACACGGCCCAGACUCCUACGGGAGGCAGCAGUGGGGAAUUUUGGACAAUGGGGGCAACCCUGAUCCAGCCAUGCCGCGUGAGUGAAGAAGGCCUUCGGGUUGUAAAGCUCUUUCAGCCGGAACGAAACGGUUACGGUUAAUACCCGUGAUUACUGACGGUACCGGAAGAAGAAGCACCGGCUAACUACGUGCCAGCAGCCGCGGCAAUACGUAGGGUGCGAGCGUUAAUCGGAAUUACUGGGCGUAAAGCGUGCGCAGGUGGUUUUGUAAGUCAGAUGUGAAAGCCCCGGGCUCAACCUGGGAACU